CGUGAAACCGUCCAGGGGUAAACCUGCGAAACUCGAAUGAACGAACGGAGAGAUUCAUCGUCAUUCCUCGGCGCACGUGCGUUUCGAUUCGAUGUGUCCGCUCGCCGUUUCGGCGGUGUGUCGGAUCGCACGUGUCGCGCACGUAGCGCUCCGGGGACGGCGUGCACUUCUCUCUCAGUAAAACAUCGCGACCCGUUCGAUGUCGGUCUAAGUGCCCUCCGGGAGUCUUCGCUUCGUCGUCUCGCGACGCGUCGAGUAGACCGAGAGGUGUCUCACCGACCGGCCGUCGGACGGUAGCCUAUACGAAACGCGCACGCGCCUCGCGCGCGUCCGGCCCGACGCAAGGCAACGUCGUAUUAUACACCCGCCUCCUGCCCGAGUGCGGUGGUGGGUGCGGCGCGCCUGUCGUCGCAGCCGUGCUGUCUCGGACCGUGCGCGUGUCCGUCUGCGA
rnacentral:rRNA from 1 species